rnacentral:rRNA from 1 species
GUGUCAGCCGCCGCGGUAAGACGAAGGUGGCGACCGUUGUUCGGAAUCACUGGGCAUAAAGAGCUCGUAGGCGGUGAGAAAAGUAGGGUGUGAAAUCCCUCGGCCCAACCGAGGAACUGCGCUCUAAACUGUCUUGCUUGAGGACCGAAGGGGACCACGGAAUUCCUGGUGGAGCGGUGAAAUGCGUUGAUAUCAGGAGGAACACCGGCGGCGAAGGCGGUGGUCUGGUCGGUUUCUGACGCUGAGGAGCGAAAGCUAGGGGAGCAAACGGGAUUAGAAACCCGCGUAGUCC